CCCUGGCUAAGUUUGUCUUCAACCAUCUAAAUCCCUAACCAGACCUUUCCCUCCAUUUACUCUCCUUCUCUCGAAAAAACAGUCACCCAAAUUAUCAACAAAUUCAAUUCAGAAAUUCACCAAACCCAUUUUCAUUUCUCCCACUAAUUUAUAUAAUUCCUCGUACUAAACAAAACCAAAAACCCUAAUACAAAUGCUCCCCUUUUGUGUCCUCUUUCCUUCUCCCAAUUGAACCCUUUCUUUUUUCCUCAUCACCCAUUCCAAUGGCUAGAGGCCUCUUCCACUUGUGCACACGCAAGAGAACCCUCUCAAAGCUUCAAGCUCUUCUCUUCAACCACUCCCAAUUCCACACUUUUCAAAACCGGGUUUCCCCUAUUUCGACCCGUUUCCCGAGCCCGCUGUUCCACCACAGAUUCUCCCAAAGUUCGAGACUUUCCGAUGAAAGAUUCCGCCCCAUCAGACCGUUUUCUGCCGCCGGCUACGGGGGCGGCGCCGCUGAGACGCCGGAAGGCGAGCUCGACGCAGAUUCUGGUAAGGGCAUUGAUUUUGAGCUUGGAAAUGAGGUUUUUGAUAGUGUCCGUGGUUUUUCUGAACAUGGGGUUGUUGAAAAUGAUGGUAGUAAUGAAUGCAAUUUAGAGAUUGUUGAUUCUGUGGAAUGUAGUACUAGUAGUAAUGGUAGUGGUAACGAUAUCAAUGAGUUAGGGAAGAAGAGUGAGGAAUUUUUGCACGUGGCAUCACGUGACCCUGUCGAAUUGUACCACGAAAUUCGGAGUGUGGAAAGAGCUGCAUGGUUGGAUAGGUCAGAGGUGGAAGUGUUGCAAGAAGUGUGCCAUUGGUUUGCCAAAUCAGGUUGGGCAUCCAAUCAGGCCCUUGCCAUUUACAUUGGUUUGUCAUUUUUCCCCACUGCAGCUCACAAGUUCCAGAACUUUCUGAAAAGGAAGUGCCCUUCUGAUGUUGCCAAGUACUUGGUGUCACUUGGGCCCAGCGACGAGGCUGUGAGGUUUUUGUUUCCAAUAUUUGUGGAGUUUUGUUUGGAGAAUUUUCCUGAUGAAAUCAAGAGGUUCAGGGAUAUGGUUGAGUCGGCCGACCUCACGAAGCCUCACACUUGGUUUCCAUUUGCAAGGGCGAUGAAACGGAAGAUAAUUUAUCAUUGUGGGCCGACAAAUAGUGGCAAGACGUAUAAUGCUUUGCAGCGGUUUAUGGAGGCGAAGAGUGGUGUUUAUUGUAGUCCGCUUAGGUUGUUGGCUAUGGAAGUUUUUGACAAGGUUAAUGCCAAGGGGAUUUAUUGCAGCCUGCUAACUGGACAAGAAAAGAAGCGUGUGCCGUUCUCAAAUCAUGUUGCGUGUACUGUGGAAAUGGCAUCGACUCAGGAAUUGUAUGAAGUGGCUGUUAUUGAUGAGAUUCAGAUGAUGGCAGAUCCGCACAGGGGGUAUGCAUGGACAAGGGCUCUCCUUGGAUUGAAGGCUGAUGAGAUACAUUUGUGCGGUGAUCCUAGUGUUUUGGAUAUUGUCAAAAGGAUUUGUCAAGACACGGGAGAUGAGUUGUGUGAGCAGCACUAUGAGAGGUUCAAACCGUUGGUGGUCGAAGCGAAGACCCUGCUUGGAAAUCUUGAAAAUAUUCGGUCUGGGGAUUGUGUAGUUGCGUUCUCAAGGAGAGAGAUAUUUGAGGUUAAAUUGGCCAUUGAGAAACAGACUAAACACCGUUGUUGUGUGAUAUAUGGUGCUCUGCCACCUGAAACUCGUAGACUGCAGGCUAGUUUGUUCAACAAUCAAAGUAAUGAAUAUGACGUUUUGGUGGCUAGUGAUGCAGUGGGAAUGGGCCUGAACCUUAACAUUAGAAGGGUGAUUUUUAAUGGCCUUUCAAAGUACAAUGGUGACAAAAUGGUUCCAGUUCCAGCAUCACAGGUUAAGCAAAUUGCGGGAAGAGCUGGUCGGAGAGGAUGCCUUUAUCCUGAUGGACUUGCCACAACCUUGCAUUUAGAUGAUUUGGAAUACAUGAUUGAGUGUUUGAAACAACCUUUUGAUAACGUAAAAAGGGUAGGCCUUUUUCCAUUUUAUGAGCAGGUUGAAUUGUUUGCUGGGCAACUUCCUGAUUUGUCAUUCAAGCAGAUUUUAGAUAAAUUUGGUGAAAAUUGCCGUUUGGAUGGGUCAUACUUUUUGUGUCAACAUGAUCAUAUCAAGAAAAUUGCUAAUAUGUUAGAGAAGGUCCAAGGAUUAUCACUGGAGGAUCGUUUUAACUUUUGUUUUGCUCCUGUUAAUGUCAGAGACCCAAAAGCUAUGUACCAUUUACUUAGAUAUGCCACAUCAUUUGGUCAGAAGCUCCCUGUAAAUGUUGCUAUGGGCAUGCCAAAAAGUUCUGCGCGGAAUGAUGCAGAACUUCUAGACCUUGAGACUAGGCAUCAGGUAUUAUCUAUGUAUUUGUGGUUAUCAAACCACUUUGAUGAGGAGACGUUUCCAUAUGUGAAGAAAGUUGAGGCAAUGGCGUCAUGUAUUGCUGACUUACUGGGGCAAUCACUUGUCAAAGCUAAUUGGAAACCUGAAUCAAGGAAUAAAGGGAAACCCAAAGCUGAAAAAAGUGAAGUGCAACCAGAAACAAGGAGUGCAGUUGAAUUACAGACUGAGAAAAGGGAAAUGGGCUAUUCAAGGCCCCAGUCACUUUUAAAAUUAUACGAGAAGUAAGAAUUCCUUGGAAACGGCAUGAAAAAUCCUUACAGCUUGAUCAUUCAAAAAAAGUAGCUACAUGAUGUGAUGACUUUGGAGGUGUGCAGGUAAUUUAUCAACGAUCACUGCAACAUAACAACUCAUACGCAUUUGAAUAAAUUAAUUCAAUUUUAUUAGCCAAAGCUGUGGUUAGACCUUGUUGGCGCGAAGCUGCAUCAGACCCAAAAAGAAAGAAAAAAAAUAAAAGACCUCGUUAGGAAUGAAGGAUAGUGACAUCUGAGAAUCAACCAGGGGCCAGCGUUGUGUAUCCUGUUUGUUUAUGUAGAUAAAACAAAUUUGGGUGUUGGUGUGAUGCUGUAAGUGUUCUGUUUUAUACUCAAAUCCAAUGUAGCCUAGAAUUUUAGUUGAAUUCUUUAUAUACUGAUACAUCUGAAUAGAGGGUUGAAUGUUUUAGGCCAUCAUUCUUAUUAUGCUUUGGUUGAGGGUGUGAAAGGGGCAUGACUAGGACCUAGGAUGUAAUUUAGUUUAACUCCUUGAAUAUCCUCUUUUUGUGCCGAAUGCACUUGUUUGAACAAGCUUAUGUCAAGGAAUAGUUAAGGCUGUUGCACUGACCUUAGCAUUUUUUUUUUAAAUUAUUAAAAUCAUGUUUUACAAUUUUAGA